GAGAUGGCAUCUGCCGUUGACCUGUUGCUCCGGAGACGGACACAGAGUCUACAGAAGUGAGGCAAAGCAGCGUCAACUUCAUGAACACCGUACGGAUUACAGAGAAAGUGUUUUUGCUAACCUGAGAUCUGGAUUCAACUUCAUUACAACCCCCUUCCACCAACCCACACUCAUGCAAACCAUCCAUUUGUGGUUCAUUUCCCAGAUUCUUCCCCCUUCCUGAACUUACACUAUUUCCCAACAUCCUCACGCCAUCCACAGCCAGCGCCACCAAUGGAGUCAGCAGUUCAGCCAAAGCCAAGCCAAGCACACACAAGUUCGGACAACAGCAGUUGGACCUUCCAGAUCCAGGUGUAUCUCUACUACAGCCAAUUGAAACAGCACAAAGGUCUCCAAAGCAGAUCUCCAUUUAACUAAAACCCAAUUGGCUGCACCAGUGUUGAAUUGGUGUG